rnacentral:rRNA from 1 species
UACGUAGGGUGCGAGCGUUGUCCGGAAUUAUUGGGCGUAAAGAGCUUGUAGGUGGUUUGUCGCGUCUGCUGUGAAAAUCCGAGGCUCAACCUCGGACUUGCAGUGGGUACGGGCAGACUAGAGUGUGGUAGGGGAGACUGGAAUUCCUGGUGUAGCGGUGGAAUGCGCAGAUAUCAGGAGGAACACCGAUGGCGAAGGCAGGUCUCUGGGCCAUUACUGACACUGGAGAAGCGAAAGCGUGGGGAGCGAACAGGAUUAGAACUCCGU